AAAUCAGUACAAAUUAUCUCUUGGUAUUAGCAGUUUCAAAACUAUAAAAACGCCAACGUCGCAUUUUCUCUCAAAAUUAGCUGGUAUAAAUUGUUCAUGCACCUCAAAAAAAAUAAUAGCUAAUAUAAUUUAAACUUUCAAUAAGAGAUUUAAUCAUUAAUAACUAUUCUACAAUUUUAUACGUGUUAUUUAAAAAAAUUAUUCGGCAAAAUACGACGUUGGCGUUUUGAAACAGCUUAUAUUGCUUUUGCUUCUCUCCUUUUUGCUUUUAAUUUAUCGCCUCAAUUCGCGAUCAAAUUUACCAGUGAGAAGGUCGAGCGGUUAAAACCACAGGAGAUAGAGUUAGAUAAAUAUGUAGUUUAAAUUAGGCAAAGUAAAUAAAAAGGGGGGAAGGAAAGGAAAAAAAAAAGGAGAGGAAAGGAAGCGGAAGUGAUCUUAUAUGCCUUUUUGGCGGUAUACCGGACUAACUUAACGCUAUCGAAGCACCGAUACACGCGUCGCGAAAAUCAACUGACUUUCCGAGAGGCGCAAGUUUCUCGACAGUGACUCAAAUUAAGCCGGAAGGGCACGGAAUCUCAGAAUACGUAAAGAAAAAAAGAUAGGAGAAAAAAAAGCAAGUACAGGUCCGAAAAAUGGUCGAAUAUAACGCCGACAAUGCUCCCACAGGACGAAUUAUCUGUGUGUGGUGAUUCCCAGGAACGACUCAACUUCUCGCAGGGCCAAGAUGAUACCCUAGACUCUCGCCUUCGGAUGACGUCACUCGUCGAGUCGAAAUACGUCCCCGCAAUCGAUUGGUGGACCAAAACGCCAGGUAUAUCCCUCAGGAUGAGGCCGAAGAAAAAGAUUUGUAUAAAAGAAGUGAUGCAAUCAGCUGAAGCUGAUUAUCAGAACUUGAAGGUCAAAUCAAGGCCUGAAGAUGGUGUGCGGCCUUUAACAGUGGAGUUUUUCCAGAGUUUGAUUUAAAUUCGACAAACGGUCGAAGACUUAAUCAACCAGCCUAAUUUCGUUGUGCUCGAAAAUCCGACAAAGGGUCGUUUGAAGAUUAGCCCCAAGAUCUUCCAAAAAUGUAGCAAACUCAUUACGGUGUAUCAAACAUGGAAAAGAGGCAUAAUGGCGAUAGUCAUUUUCUUUUAUCAACGAGGCCCUAAAAAAAAUCCUACGUCAAACGCAAAUCCUCGCCGAAAAAGAUUACAGGAAACUAGAAAAUAAAGAAGAAAACUACCCAGAAGAAAAUUCAAGAGGAAGUUGCUGAUUUACUGUCUUGUUAAUUAUACUGAUGUUAAUAAAAACCAAAAAAAAAAAACGACAGGUUACGAGCUAAUAAAAGAAAAUUGUAAACUAGCGUAAUUAUUUAAUAAAUUUCCUUAAGAUAACUCCUAGCGUUUCGUUGCUGUUCAGGCAAAAAAUACCUGGCCAGAGCAUGAAGAUUUUUUCGUUCAAACCGAUAUAAAAUCUCAAAAUCUUUUCCCACGGGUUCGCAAGGUUGUUUAUAAGUUUUUCUUACCCAUUGUUGCACAAAAGCCACCAUCGUUUCGAGUUUGAGGUGUUACUUUUAGAAAGUGAUACUCGUACUGAUUAGCAUUAACAAUUUUGAAGUAAAUUCAUUAUAAUUAGUUA